rnacentral:rRNA from 1 species
UGGGGAAUUUUGGACAAUGGGGGAAACCCUGAUCCAGCCAUGCCGCGUGCAGGAUGAAGGCCUUCGGGUUGUAAACUGCUUUUGUACGGAACGAAAAGGUCCUUUCUAAUAAAGAGGGCUCAUGACGGUACCGUAAGGAUAAGCACCGGCUAACUACGUGCCAGCAGCCGCGGUAAUACGUAGGGUGCGAGCGUUAAUCGGAAUUACUGGGCGCAAAGCGUGCGCAGGCGGUUAUAUAAGACAGAUGUGAAAUCCCCGGGCUCAACCUGGGAACUGCAUUUGUGACUGCAUAGCUAGAGUACGGCAGAGGGGGAUGGAAUUCCGCGUGUAGCAGUGAAAUGCGUAGAUAUGCGGAGGAACACCGAUGGCGAAGGCAAUCCCCUGGGCCUGCACUGACGCUCAUGCACGAAAGCGUGGGGAGCAAACA